CUAUUAAACAAGAUAAGAGUUUUUGGUGGAUGCCUUGGGUCUGGAAGUCUAAGAAGGACGUGAUUACCUGCGAUAAGCCUCGGUUAGCUGGAAAUAAGCUGUUAUCCGGGGAUUUCCGAAUGGGGAAACCCAAUUGAGUUAAUCCUCAAUUAUCAUUUCGAUGAAUCCAUAGUCGAAUGAAGAGACACGCUGUGAAUUGAAACAGCUCAGUAGCAGCAGGAAAAGAAAAUAAAGAAUGAUUCCCUUAGUAGUGGCGAGCGAACGGGGAAAAGCCCAAACCAACAUUUGAUGUUGGGGUCGUAGGACUACUUACACGAAGUUAGAAAAAACUUAAACAUAGCAGAAUAAGUUGGAAUGCUUAAACAUAGAGGGUGAAAUUCCCGUAAGCGAAAUGAAUAAGUCUUCAAGUAGUAUCCUGAGUAGGGCGGGGCACGUGAAACCCUGUCUGAACCCGCCGGGACCACCCGGUAAGGCUAAAUACUAACCAGACACCGAUAGUGAACUAG
rnacentral:rRNA from 2 species